rnacentral:rRNA from 1 species
UACGUAGGGUGCAAGCGUUGUCCGGAAUUAUUGGGCGUAAAGAGCUCGUAGGCGGUUUGUCGCGUCUGCUGUGAAAACUCGGGGCUUAACCCUGGGCCUGCAGUGGGUACGGGCAGACUAGAGUGUGGUAGGGGAGACUGGAAUUCCUGGUGUAGCGGUGAAAUGCGCAGAUAUCAGGAGGAACACCGAUGGCGAAGGCAGGUCUCUGGGCCACUACUGACGCUGAGAAGCGAAAGCAUGGGGAGCGGACAGG